AACGAACGCUGGCGGCAUGCCUAACACAUGCAAGUCGAACGAGACCUUCGGGUCUAGUGGCGCACGGGUGCGUAACGCGUGGGAACCUGCCCUUAGGUUCGGAAUAACUCCCCGAAAGGGGUGCUAAUACCGGAUAAUGUCUUCGGACCAAAGAUUUAUCGCCUUUGGAUGGGCCCGCGUUGGAUUAGCUAGUUGGUAGGGUAAAAGCCUACCAAGGCGACGAUCCAUAGCUGGUCUGAGAGGAUGAUCAGCCACACUGGGACUGAGACACGGCCCAGACUCCUCCGGGAGGGAGCAGUGGGAAAUAUUGGCCAUGGGGCGAAAGCCUGAUCCACCAAUGCCGCGUGAGUGAUGAAGGCCUUAGGGUUGUAAAGCUCUUUUACCCGGGAUGAUAAUGCCAGUACCGGGAGAAUAAGCCCCGGCUACCCCCAU
rnacentral:rRNA from 1 species